UGAAUGGUAAAAAACCGAAAUUUCGAUUUUUCUGAAAAACUACAAUUUUUUUAGUUUUUGAUUAUUAAGUACAAAGUGCCCCUUUGCAAGGAGUACUUGACAGUUUUUAAAUGAAAGCUCUAUCUUUAAUACCAAAAAAGUUAUGCAAAAUUUACGAUCUAAUAAAGUACAUGUGAAUGGUAAAAAACCGAAAUUUCGAUUUUUCUCAAAAACUAUAAUUUUUUCAGUUUUUGAUUAUUACGUACAAGGUGCCCCUUUGCAAGGAGUACUUGACAGUUUUUAAAUGAAAGCUCUAUCUUUAAUAACAAAAAAGUAAUGCAAAAUUUACGAUCUUAUAAAGUACAUGUUAAUGGUAAAAAACCGAAAUUUCGAUUUUUUUCAAAAACUACAACUUUUUUAGUUUUUAAUUAUUACGUACAAGGUGCCCCUUUGCAAGGAGUACUUGACAGUUUUUAAAUGAAAGCUCUAUCUUUAAUAACAAAAAAGUAAUGCAAAAUUUACGAUCUUAUAAAGUACAUGUUAAUGGUAAAAAACCGAAACUUCGAUUUUUUUCAAAAACUACAAUUUUUUUAGUUUUUUAUUAUUACGUCCAAGGUGCCCCUUUACAAGGAGUACUUGACAGUUUUUAAAUGAAAGC